UACCAGCACCCCGAGUGGUCGGUACGAUUAUUGGGCCUAAAGCGUCCGUAGCCGGUUCUACAAGUCUUCCGUUAAAUCCACCUGCUUAACAGAUGGGCUGCGGAGGAUACUAUAGAGCUAGGAGGCGGGAGAGGCAAGCGGUACUUAGUGGGUAGGGGUAAAAUCCGUUGAUCCAUUGAAGACCACCAGUGGCGAAGGCGGCUUGCCAGAACGCACUCGACGGUGAGGGAUGAAAGCUGGGGGAGCAAACCGG
rnacentral:rRNA from 1 species